CCUUUUGAUACAGAAAGUUCAGCUCAUUUAUAACUAGAAAAGGUUGUUCAUAACUGAAACAAUAAAAUGAUGGAAAAAAUUGUAAUUUGCCUUGUGUCAUUCGUACUGCUUGGGUUACAUCAAGUUACCGCUCAGGUACGCUCCCGGGCUGAAGUUUUUAACGAUGUGAGCGAAUAUCUUACUAUUAUAACUAACGACAUCUUCACGUUUAAUCCAACAUGGCCAGAUGAACUGAAAACCGAUCUGGAACAAAUUGUAGCAGGUUUAAGCGCAUGGAAAGAUUCUGCUACCAUGGAUUCUGAUCUUUCUCAACCAAAUUUUUUACUGCACCGCUAAAUUUGUAAUGCGCUAGCAACAGAGAUAAAGUGCAAUAUUCAUGUUAAAA